GUCCCCCUGUGGCCUUUGUUAAUACUAACGCCGCCAUUCACUAGGCAUCUACUGUGAACCGGACACUGCGUGAGAGGCUCCACGCACUGUCUCCCUUAAUCCUCACCACCACCCCAGGAGGUCAGCAUGCUGAACCAGGGCCACACAGAGGAAGCGGGGUGCUGAAUCUUGACUUUCUAACCCCAAGGCCCACCCCCGUUUCUCCCCACUGUGGGCAGCCUCCUAGUUUCUCAAUUCGCAGGGAACCCGAUUAGAGGCUUUUGGCAGUGACUCCACAACUCAUGGCUCACAGGAAGGGACAGCAGAGACACGGUGCUCUAGUGGACAGUAUAUACCUCCUGCCUGGCAGCUUCAUGAGGGGACCCUAAAACUGGGGAAUUUACAAGCCCUGCUAGACCACCAAGGCCCUCGCAUGCUUGGAAUGCAGGACUCCGACUGGCCAAAGACUCCGAGGACCCGGCUCCAGUGAGUCAGCUGGCGCUAAAGAUCUACGCCUUUGGGUUUGUCAUUUAUUCAAUGAAAAAUUGAUGUUUCUGGGUGCUUUAAGAGAGCCAAGUUUCCCACAGCUUCCAGUCACACAGUGAGACCCAAGAGGAAGGAGCCAAUAAAAUCUUAAAGACACCCAAGGACCAGGCCCACACAUUCCAAAUACUUCUUAGGAUCCUUCAGAAGCCAAUGGCUCUGUCUUAGAGAGCAGUUUUGAGUAUUAAAGGAAGACAGAAGAGUCCAGAAUAUAGAGUCCAGGGUUGCUGACCAAAGAGGGCAGACUUGGCUCUCAUUGGAGGGCAUCUGAGUCCAGGAUACCCCUCCUUCUUACCCCAUCCAGAAGGCAGCUACUCUUAUUAGCUCCAUUUUACAGGUGGGGAAAUGGAGGCACAAUG